UACAGAGGGGGCAAGCGUUAUUCGGAAUUAUUGGGCGUAAAGGGCGCGUAGGCGGCUUUGCAAGUGACGGGUGAAAUCCCUCGGCUUAACCGAGGAACUGCCUGUCAAACUGCAUGGCUUGAGACCGGGAGAGGUGAGUGGAAUUCCCAGUGUAGCGGUGAAAUGCGUAGAUAUUGGGAGGAACACCAGUGGCGAAGGCGGCUCACUGGACCGGAACUGACGCUGAGGCGCGAAAGCGUGG
rnacentral:rRNA from 1 species